rnacentral:misc_RNA from 1 species
GAUGAAGAACGUAGCAAAAUGCGAUACUUGGUGUGAAUUGCAGAAUCCCGUGAACCAUCGAGUUUUUGAACGCAAGUUGCGCCCGAAGCCUUUUGGCCGAGGGCACGUCUGCCUGGGCGUCACGCAUCGCGUCGCCCCCCACAAUUCUCCGUAAAGGGAACGUGUGUUUUGGGGGCGGAUAUUGGUCUCCCGUGCUCAUGGCGUGGUUGGCCGAAAUAGGAGUCCUUUCGAUGGACGCACGAACUAGUGGUGGUCGUAAAACCCCUCGUCUUUUGUUUCGUGCUGUUGCUCGCAAGGUAAACUCUUUAAAAACCCCAAUGUGUCGUCUCUUGACGACGCUUCGACCGCGACCCCAGGUCAGGCGGGACUACCCGCUGAGUUUAAGCAUAUCAAUAAGCGGAGGA